UGAAGGCAUACUUUCAGGAGUGAGGGUAGAGCGGGGUUUCCCCCGCCCUGGUAGUCUUAGUAUGCUGGGUAGCUAAUCACUAAGAGCACCACGAUGAUGAGUAUCUUCAUCAUGACCCUUUCCUUAUU
rnacentral:sRNA from 1 species